UAUAUAUGUUUCUGGACACCGUAAGUGAUAUGUGGCUUGUUGCGAGCGGAGGUCAGUAGUAACUGUUUGAACUGUGUUGGGGGAGGAUGUGUCCGGGUGUGGCUGACCAGCCGGUGGUAAAUACUCUUUCGCCUGCUACAGCUCUCCAGCCCAGGGUGUCGACUGCCUAGUCUUCAACUGCCUCCCAACAUGGUAGCGAGGUCCUGAGCUGAUGUACCCUAUGGCGAAGAUUGAGGAAGUAAUUUCCUGAAGUAAUGAAUGGCACUUUAUAACCAGCAGCCGGCACCAGCUCUGGACAACGUCGGAGUGGACAAGGCCCAGAUCCCGUGGGGAGGAAGGUCUACACUAACGUGUAAAAGAACAUGGAUUGGGAAGUCCUAAACUACAUUCCUGGAGUUUGAAGGUGUCAAUUGACAUUCAGAAUCAGAUUACAAUGGUAUCCAAGCAUUGACUGACUGGAAGUGUGGCUGUUCUACUCUGCACAUCUAUGAAGCUGGUUGUGGAGGGUCCUUCCAACAUAAUUCCAGGGAUGGUGUACAGAACAAUUGGUGAAAGUUAUGCUACAGAAAAUAGUCAAGAGAAUUAGUUGGUAAAAAACAUGGAUUGGGAAGUCCUAAACUACAUUCCUGGAGUUUGAAGGUGUCAAUUGACAUUCAGAAUCAGAUUACAAUGGUAUCCAAGCAUUGACUGACUUUUAAGUGUGGCUGUUCUACUCUGCACAUCUAUGAAGCUGGUUGUGGAGGGACCUUCCAACAUAAUUUCAGGGAUGGUGUACAGAACAAUUGGUGAAAGUUAUGCUACAGAAAAUAGCAGUUGUGAGAAUUAGUUGGUAAAAAAUAUGGAUUGGGAAGUGCAGAAUUACAUCCUGGAGUUUGAAAGUGUUGAAUGCUUGACAUUCAGAAUAAGGUGAUAAUGAAGAUUACAAUGGUACCAAAGCAGUGAGGCUAUUCUACUCCACACAUCCAAUAAACUGGUGGAUGUUGUCCUUGUUACUCUGGAGGUUUCCCUGUCCUUUUGGAGUCUUCAGUGGAUUGCAUCUAGGAGGAGCAGCUUCCCACAACCUGAAAUGGACAAUAGUCAAAAUUAGAUGUUACACUGUAUACUAUGCAAUAAAUAUUCUAAUGAA
rnacentral:lncRNA from 1 species